UAACGCGAAGAACCUUACCAGGGAUUGACAUCCCCUGACCGUGUAUGAAAGUGCACUUUCCCUUUCGGGGGACAGGGAGACAGGUGGUGCAUGGUUGUCGUCAGCUCGUGUCGUGAGAUGUUGGGUUAAGUCCCGCAACGAGCGCAACCCCUACAUUCAGUCGCUAACGGGAGAGCCGAGAACUCUGGAUGGACUGCCGUUGACAAGACGGAGGAAGGUGGGGAUGACGUCAAAUCAUCAUGCCCCUUAUACCCUGGGCUACACACGUGCUACAAUGGUUCGUACAGAGGGCGGCGACACGGCGACGUGAAGCGCAUCCCUUAAAGCGGAUCUCAGUUCGGAUUGCAGGCUGCAACCCGCCUGCAUGAAGUCGGAAUCGCUAGUAAUCGCA
rnacentral:rRNA from 1 species